rnacentral:rRNA from 1 species
AUGGGCGUCCUCCUCGAGCCGGCUUGCCUCCAGCACGUGCUGCAGGGCCUCCUCGAGGGCGAUUUGGUACUCUGCCUCCGCCUCCUCCUCCUCCUCCUCCUCCUCUGGCUUCACCCGCAGGAGCGGCGGUGGGAGGUCGUGGUCAAUGUGGACGCCGAGGCGACCCUCCUUCUCAUGAGCAUCGGCGGCGGCAUUGAGUUCUCGGGGAGCGGCGGCGGCGGCAGUAUGGUGGCGCCGUUCAUGGCCAAGACGUGCGCGAUGGUGGACGACGCGGCCACCGACGCCGUGGUCGCGUGGGGGUCGGCCAGCAACAGCUUCGUCGUCGCCAACCCCUUCGCCUUCUCGCGCGCGCUGCUGGCCACGCAGUUCAAGCACUCCAACUUCUCCAGCUUCGUCCGGGUCAAGUUCACUGGGUUCUACACGGGAGGCGACGGAUAUAGCGAGAUGCCGGUGGAUGACCCGCCGACCUUCGAAGUGUCCCGAACUCAGGAUUUGGAGAUGUCGCUGUCCAUCCUCCCCGUCAAAGACUUCUUCGGGUGGUGGCGAGUGGCUCUUGUCGAGUCUCGUCAACCAACCUAUACAGAUAUGAUGAGCACCGGCGGCGGCGUGGUGAACAAGACGUACGCGAUGGUGGACGACCCGGCGACGGACGCCGUGGUCACGUGGGGGCCGGCCAGUAACAGCUUCCUCGUCGCCGACCCCUUCGCCUUCUCGGAGAUGCUGCUCCGCGCGCACUUCAAGCACUCCAACUUCUUGAGCUUCGUCAGCCAGCUCAACACCCAUGGCUUUCGCAAGGUGGACCCGGAUCGGUGGGAGUUCGUGCACGCCUUCUUCCUCCGCGCCCAGACGCACCUCCUGCCCCGCAUCGUCCGGCACCGCAGCGGUAGGCGCGGCAAGGGCGGACACGAUGAGGAUGAAGACAUUAGCAGCACCAUGCUGGCCAUGGAGGAGCAGAGGGCCACUGAUGACCACAUGGCGGCGAUAUGGCGCCGGGUGCAGGACGCCGAGCGCCGGCCAAAGCUGAUGCUCGCCUUCCUCCUCAAGGUCGUCGGAGACCCUGACAUGCUACGCCGCCUCGUACGUGACAGCAGCGACUCCAGUAGCGACGGCGGCUUCCACGGCGGCCCAGGCAAAGGCGCAGGGGUCUAG